AGCUUCAGUAGCGUUUAUUAAAGUUGUUGCAGUUAAAAAGCUCGUAGUCGCAUUUCUGGCGAGAGGAUCCGGUCCGACCUUUUGGUGGGUUCUUGGGUCUCUUUCGCCAUCCUUGAGUGGUCCGUUCUGGCAUUAGGUUGUCGGAGCGUCAGCCGCUCAUCGUUUACUGUGAGAAAAUUAGAGUGUUCAAAGCAGGCUUAUGCCGUUGAAUAUAUUAGCAUGGAAUAAUAAGAUAGGACCUCGGUACUAUUUUGUUGGUUUGCGCACCAAGGUAAUGAUGAACAGGGACAGUUGGGGGUAUUUGUAUUUCGUUGUCAGAGGUGAAAUUCUUAGAUUUACGAAAGACAAACUACUGCGAAAGCAUUUACCAAGAAUGUUUUCA
rnacentral:rRNA from 1 species